GCCCACGUGGCCUAAAGGAUAAGGCGUCUGACUCCUAAUCAGAAGAUGGCCGGUUCGACCCAGGCCGUAGGUU
rnacentral:tRNA from 1 species